rnacentral:rRNA from 1 species
UACGGAGGGUGCAAACGUUGCUCGGAAUCAUUGGGCGUAAAGCGCUACGUAGGCGGCUCGUUAAGUCGGGUGUGAAAGCCCUCGGCUCAACCGAGGAAGUGCAUUCGAAACUGGCGAGCUUGAAUAUGGAAGAGGGUCGCGGAAUUCCCGGUGUAGAGGUGAAAUUCGUAGAUAUCGGGAGGAACACCAGUGGCGAAGGGCGGCGACC